rnacentral:tRNA from 1 species
GGGGUUGUGGCUCAGUGGUAAAGCAUUCACCUAGCAUGUUCGAGGCCCUGAGUUCAAUCCUCAGCACCACA